rnacentral:rRNA from 1 species
GGGUGCAGCAGGCGCGAAACCUUUACACUGCACGACAGUGCGAUAGGGGGAUCCCAAGUGCACAGGCAUAGCGCCUGUGCUUUUCGGUACCCUAAGGCGGUACCAGAAUAAGGGCUGGGCAAGACCGGUGCCAGCCGCCGCGGUAAUACCGGCAGCCCAAGUGAUGGCCGAUCUUAUUGGGCCUAAAGCGUCCGUAGCUGGCCACGCAAGUCCAUCGGGAAAUCCACCUGCCCAACAGGUGGGCGCCCGGUAGAAACUGCGUGGCUUGGGACCGGAAGGCGCGACGGGUACGUCCGGGGUAGGAGUGAAAUCCCGUAAUCCUGGACGGACCGCCGAUGGCGAAAGCACGUCGCGAGAACGGAUCCGACAGUGAGGGACGAAAGCCAGGGUCUCGAACCGGAUUAGAUACCCGGGUAGUCCUGGCCGUAAACAAUGCCUGCUAGGUGUGGCUCCCACUACGAGUGGGUGCUGUGCCGUAGGGAAGCCGGCUAAGCAGGCCGCCUGGGAAGUACGUCCGCAAGGAUGAAACUUAAAGGAAUUGGCG